GGAUUGAAAUGGGGGCACCCUGAUCCAGCCAUUCCGCGUGAGUGAAGAAGGCCUUCGGGUUGUAAAGCUCUUUUGUCCGGAGCGAAACGGUGUCGGUGAAUAUCCGACGCUACUGACGGUACCGGAAGAAUAAGCACCGGCUAACUACGUGCCAGCAGCCGCGGUAAUACGUAGGGUGCGAGCGUUAAUCGGAAUUACUGGGCGUAAAGCGUGCGCAGGCGGUUUUGUAAGCCAGUCGUGAAAUCCCCGGGCUUAACCUGGGAAUGGCGAUUGGGACUGCAAGGCUGGAGUAUGGCAGAGGAGACUGGAAUUCCUGGUGUAGCAGUGAAAUGCGUAGAUAUCAGGAGGAAUACCGAUGGCGAAGGCAGGUCUCUGGGCUGAUACUGACGCUCAUGCACGAAAGCGUGGGGAGCAAACAGGAUUAGAUACCCUGGUAGUCCACGCCCUAAACGAUGUCGACUGGUUGUUGGGGGUUUGACACCUUCAGUAACGAAGCUAACGCGUGAAGUCGACCGCCUGGGGAGUACGGCCGCAAGGUUAAAACUCAAAGAAAUUGACGGA
rnacentral:rRNA from 1 species